rnacentral:rRNA from 1 species
AUGGACCUGGGUGCAUCCUCCUCCUCGUCCGGCCGCUCGUCCGACUCUCCCUGCCUCCGCCUCGUCAAGCCGGAGCCCCAGGACACGCCUAUCAGCGCGCGCACCCGCAGCUCCGGCGUCCGCAUCGACGACUCCGCCCCCGCCUCUGGCCGCCUCGUCCUCGUUAGGCCGAAGCCCGAGCCCGGCCUCCCCACGGAGUACGAGGAGAUAGCUCGGCGCGGCUUCUCCGACGAGGACGCCCUACGGUGGGCGCGGGACGACUACCUCGCGACGAGAUGGUCCGGCAGCGCCGGGCCCUGGAGGAGAUAG